GGGUUCAGAACGUCGUGAGACAGUUCGGUCCCUAUCCGUCGUGGGCGUAGGAAAUUUGAGAGGAGCUGUCCUUAGUACGAGAGGACCGGGAUGGACAUACCUCUGGUGUACCAGUUGUCGUGCCAACGGCAUAGCUGGGUAGCUAUGUAUGGACGGGAUAAGUGCUGAAAGCAUCUAAGCAUGAAGCCCCCCUCGAGAUGAGAUUUCCCAACUUCGGUUAUAAGAUCCCUCAAAGAUGAUGAGGUGAAUAGGUUCGAGGUGGAAGCGUAGCGAUACGUGGAGCUGACGAAUACUAAUCGAUCGAAGACUUAAUCAAU
rnacentral:rRNA from 1 species